GAGUUUGAUCCUGGCUCAGAGCGAACGCUGGCGGCAGGCUUAACACAUGCAAGUCGAACGGUCCUUCGGGAUAGUGGCGGACGGGUGAGUAACACGUGGGAACGUACCCUUAGGUUCGGAACAACACAGGGAAACUUGUGCUAAUACCGGGAUAAGCCCUUCGGGGAAAGGAUUUAUCGCCUUUGGAGCGGCCCGCGUCUGAUUAGCUUGUUGGUGAGGUAAUGGCUCACCAAGGCUACGAUCAGUAGCUGGUCUGAGAGGAUGGCCAGCCACACUGGGACUGAGACACGGCCCAGACUCCUACGGGAGGCAGCAGUGGGGAAUCUUGCGCAAUGGGCGAAAGCCUGACGCAGCCAUGCCGCGUGGAUGAUGAAGGUCUUAGGAUUGUAAAUCCUUUCACGGGACGAUAAUGACGGUACCCGGAGAAGAAGCCCCGGCUAACUUCGUGCCAGCAGCCGCCGCCGUAAC
rnacentral:rRNA from 1 species